GAUGAACGCUGGCGGCGUGCCUAAUACAUACAAGUCGAGCGAACGGACGAGAAGCUUGCUUCUCUGAUGUUAGCGGCGGACGGGUGAGUAACACGUGGAUAACCUACCUAUAAGACUGGGAUAACUUCGGGAAACCGGAGCUAAUACCGGAUAAUAUUUUGAACCGCAUGGUUCAAAAGUGAAAGACGGUCUUGCUGUCACUUAUAGAUGGAUCCGCGCUGCAUUAGCUAGUUGGUAAGGUAACGGCUUACCAAGGCAACGAUGCAUAGCCGACCUGAGAGGGUGAUCGGCCACACUGGAACUGAGACACGGUCCAGACUCCUACGGGAGGCAGCAGUAGGGAAUCUUCCGCAAUGGGCGAAAGCCCGACGGAGCAACGCCGCGUGAGUGAUGAAGGUCUUCGGAUCGUAAAACUCUGUUAUUAGGGAAGAACAUAUGUGUAAGUAACUGUGCACAUCUUGACGGUACCUAAUCAGAAAGCCACGGCUAACUACGUG
rnacentral:rRNA from 1 species